GAUGAACGCUAGCGGCAGGCCUAAUACAUGCAAGUCGAACGGGUGGUCGCAAGACCACUAGUGGCGCACGGGUGCGUAACGCGUAACCAACCUGCCCCGAUCUGGGGGAUAGCCCGCCGAAAGGCGGAUUAAUACCGCAUAUACCCGCAGCCUGGCAUCAGGCAACGGGGAAAGAUUUAUUGGAUCGGGAUGGGGUUGCGUGACAUUAGCUAGUUGGCGGGGUAAGGGCCCACCAAGGCGACGAUGUCUAGGGGACCUGAGAGGGUGAUCCCCCACACUGGCACUGAGAUACGGGCCAGACUCCUACGGGAGGCAGCAGUAGGGAAUAUUGGGCAAUGGGCGAGAGCCUGACCCAGCCAGGCCGCGUGCCGGAUGAAGGCCUUCUGGGUUGUAAACGGCUUUUCUCAGGGAAGAAAAAGACCUUGCGAGGUACACUGACGGUACCUGAGGAAUAAGCACCGGCUAACUCCGUG
rnacentral:rRNA from 1 species